rnacentral:rRNA from 1 species
UACAGAGGGUGCAAGCGUUAAUCGGAAUUACUGGGCGUAAAGCGUGCGUAGUCGGUUAUUUAAGUCGGGUGUGAAAGCCCCGGGCUCAACCUGGGAAUUGCAUUCGAUACUGGAUAGCUAGAGUUCGGCAGAGGGAAGCGGAAUUUCCGGUGUAGCGGUGAAAUGCGUAGAUAUCGGAAGGAACAUCAGUGGCGAAAGCGGCUUCCUGGACCAGAACUGACGAUCAGGCACGAAAGCGUGGGUAGCGAAUGGG